rnacentral:rRNA from 1 species
GUGGGGAAUCUUGCGCAAUGGGCGAAAGCCUGACGCAGCCAUGCCGCGUGAAUGAUGAAGGUCUUAGGAUUGUAAAAUUCUUUCACCGGGGACGAUAAUGACGGUACCCGGAGAAGAAGCUCCGGCUAACUUCGUGCCAGCAGCCGCGGUAAUACGAAGGGGGCUAGCGUUGCUCGGAAUUACUGGGCGUAAAGGGCGCGUAGGCGGACAGCUUAGUCAAAGGUGAAAGCCCAGGGCUCAACCUUGGAAUUGCCUUUGAUACUGGCUGUCUUGAGUUUGGGAGAGGUGAGUGGAACUCCGAGUGUAGAAGUAAAAUUCGUAGAUAUUCGGAAGAACACCAGUGGCGAAGGCGACUCACUGGCCCAAUACUGACGCUGAGGCGCGAAAGCGUGGGGAGCAAACAGGAUUAGAUACCCUUGUAGUCC